CGCACAUUGCGCCCGAUAGUAUUCUAACGGGCAUGCCUGUUCGAGCGUCAUUUCAACCCUCAAGCACAGCUUGGCGUUGGGGAUCGGCCACCGCUGUCUAUUCAGCAGGCCGGCCCCGAAAUCCAGUGGCGGUCUCGCCGUAGCUUCCUCUGCGUAGUAGCACACCUCGCAUCGGGACGCGGCGCGGCCAUGCCGUUAAACCCCCAUCUUUCUGAAGGUUGACCUCGGAUCAGGUAGGAAUACCCGCUGAACUUAA
rnacentral:misc_RNA from 1 species